rnacentral:rRNA from 1 species
CCUACGGGAGGCAGCAGUGGGGGAUAUUGGACAAUGGGGGGAACCCUGAUCCAGCGACGCCGCGUGAGUGAAGAAGUAUUUCGGUAUGUAAAGCUCUGUCAGCAGGGAAGAAAGAAAUGACGGUACCUGACCAAGAAGCACCGGCUAACUACGUGCCAGCAGCCGCGGUAAUACGUAGGGGGCAAGCGUUAUCCGGAAUUACUGGGUGUAAAGGGGGCGUAGACGGUUAAGUAAGUCUGGAGUGAAAGGCCGGGGCCCAACCCCGGGACUGCUCUUGAAACUAUUGAACUUGAGUGCAGGAGAGGUAAGCGGAAUUCCGAGUGUAGCGGUGAAAUGCGUAGAUAUUAGGAGGAACACCAGUGGCGAAGGCGGCUUACUGGACUGUAACUGACGUUGAGGCUCGAAAGCGUGGGGAGCAAACAGGAUUAGAUACCCCAGUAGUC